AGACUUAGUAGCGACUUCCGACAAUGGU
rnacentral:sRNA from 1 species